rnacentral:rRNA from 1 species
UACGAAGGGGGCUAGCGUUGCUCGGAAUCACUGGGCGUAAAGGGCGCGUAGGCGGCUUGCCAAGUCGGGGGUGAAAGCCCGUGGCUCAACCACGGAAUGGCCUUCGAUACUGGCAGGCUUGAGACCGGAAGAGGACAGCGGAACUGCGAGUGUAGAGGUGAAAUUCGUAGAUAUUCGCAAGAACACCAGUGGCGAAGGCGGCUGUCUGGUCCGGUUCUGACGCUGAGGCGCGAAAGCGUGGGGAGCAAACAG